UACGGAGGGUGCGAGCGUUGUCCGGAAUCAUUGGGCGUAAAGGGCGCGUAGGUGGCGGGACAAGCGUGCGGUGAAAGCUCGGGGCUCAACCCCGCGUCGGCCGUGCGAACUGUUUUGCUUGAGCACUGUAGAGGCAGGCGGAAUUCCGGGUGUAGCGGUGGAAUGCGUAGAGAUCCGGAAGAACACCGGUGGCGAAGGCGGCAUCUGGCCCAUUUUUGGACGCUGAGGCACGAAAGCGUUGGGG
rnacentral:rRNA from 1 species